GAAACUAUCUUCCAUACAGCUGCAAAUUGCAGGAUAUCAUGAAGGCUGUCUAAUUUGCAAGAAGAUCAACCAUCCUCCCGGGCAUAACUCAUGCAAGCCCAACAAUUACCCACCCCAAUUCUUAAUUUGAUAAAUGGCAUUAAAAUCCAAAUCUUUUAUCUGCUAAUUGAGAGGGCAUUGCAUAAAGACACAUUAGUGUAUUACCAUAAUUACAUAAUUAAAUCCAAAGCUUCAGCUAUACUAACACUUUCAAGUCAACCAAGGCCAACAUUAAACUACAAGUAAAUCUGUGAUUUCCUUUGUUAGACUACCAGUUCCUUUGUUAGACUACCAGUUACCAUGCCUAUGCUUCCAGAAAGCCAUAUAAAUCCACUGCUCCCAAUAAUUAAAGUUAUAUUAUAUCAAAGCCUUGAUAUCAGUUUAGACAUUUGACUUAUAUUACUAUAAAAUCAGUUAAAAUAAGUCGCUGAAGUAUAGUGCUAAGCAACGCUCCAAGCUGGAUGGUAAGAACUUAUUCAUUAAAAAAAUCAGAUAUGGUUUUUGGGUUGCCACUUUGUCUUGGUUCCAAGUUCAUCUUAGCAUCAUUAUCACAUUCCAAGAACAAAAAAACCACAAAAUAAUAAGGUAAAUAAUGGUUGGGCCACCUAAGCAUCCCUUACCUCUGUACAAGGGCGUCCUGAUUUAUUUCUCAGCAGUUAAAAAUAUUAUCAAGACACGGGUUGCAACCCUAAAAAACACUAAUCAACAGAGCUUGAUGCUAGCAUUUUCCUAGUACAACAAUUAAGGCUUAGCCAGGCCCUAUCACAUGGGGGAUGCCUUGAAAAUCUUUUACACUGAAACAAAUAUGUCAUUUGACCCACCUGUGGGUAGCCCAAGUGGUAAAGGUGGACUUGUGUGCAUGGGCUCCAUGUCACAAGUUCAAUUCCCCUGAAUCAAACUGUGAUUUAAGUGGGAAGCCAUGACGGUGGGUUGCUGUGCUAGUCUCCCCAGGGGUUUAGGUUCCAUAGGUGAGUCCUAAGGGCUCUGCCGUGGGGUGGUUCUCCCGUCAUUUUAAAAAAAAAAAAAAAAUUUAUU